rnacentral:misc_RNA from 1 species
GGAAGUAAAAGUCGUAACAAGCUUUCCGUAGGUGAACCUGCGGAAGGAUCAUUGUUGGAUUUUGAAACUUCAGGCUGCUGCUGGCUCUCCUCGGAGGGCAUGUGCACGCUUGUUGUCCAUUAUUUCUCCCACUGUGCACAAAUUGUAGACCUUUCAGUAGGCCUAUGUUGUUUUUCACAAUCUCUGAAUGUAAUAGAAUGGUUUUGAAUCUUGGGAAAUACAAUACAACUUUCAGCAACGGAUCUCUUGGCUCUC